AGCUAUCUCUCUAUUUCUCUCCGCCAUCGUUAAGCAUAGAGACUGACAUCUUAUGUUUCCCACUAAAAACUGAGAAGAUGUUUGCAGAUCGUUAACGAAUAACGCUAGUAUAUAAAGAAUCAAUCAGCGGGAGCACGGGUCAAGCUCAGAAAUUUCUUGUAAUAGACUUGUAGAAGUAACUAUAAAAUGAGAAAAUGAGUUACAGUUCUGAGUAAUUGGGCUUUAAUGAGUUUUAAACGAAUUUAUAUAUUUGUUAUAAGAAGACAAUAGCAUUGGCAUGUUGACAUUGGGCAUAUGAGCUAUUUUUAUAAGACAAGAGGAGUGAGCAGGUGGA